rnacentral:lncRNA from 1 species
GCCGAACUUCACCGAUUCUUAUUUUUUCCUCUCUAAGCAAAAUUAAAAAAAUCCGCGUUGUCUCGUUCGUCUCGCUCUGGAUCGGCAACAACUCUUGGAAAAGAAGCUCGUUCGCGAGGCCUACCUCGACCUUUCGGAAAUCAAAGUCAUAUUUAAAGUGUUUUUUUCGCUUAGUAUUAUUAUUUUUAAAUCAGUUAAAACUAGUUAUUUUUCUUACUUUUUUAAGAAGAUGUCGAAGUUACUGUUACUUUACAACAAAACAAUUUUUUUUACGGGACUACGCGAGAAUCCUCGGUCUCAAGUGGAAACCAUGCCGGCGUGAUCAGUGUUAUUUUAAGGACGAGAUUGGAAGGCCACGUCUAAAACGAAGUGACAGCUUGGCUUUGGCGGUAAGUGUCUUGCCAGUUAGCAAGCCAAAGUCUAUGUAAAAUCAGAUUUCCACAUAGUUGUACUAGAAUGUUUGGUUAGUGUUCAAAUGUUCAGCUUUAAAAAAAAAGUGUAUAUAUAACACAGUUACCUACACGUUAGCCUAAAUCAGGGGUCAAUAGCCCUGUUCCUGGAGUGCCGCAGAAAACAAGAGUUUGUUCCAAUUAGGCACCACACCUGACCAACAACUAAUUGGUAAUUUCGGCGAUUGCCCAAAUUCAACACUCUUGAUUUCCAAGGUCGGCACUCCAGUACCAGGGUUGCCUACCCCUGGCUAAGUAGUUAGCACGAUGUAGCUAAUGUUAGUUGCUAGCCAGCCAUCUAACGUCGUUACCCCUUUGUGGGCACUGUAAAAACCCGCCAUUGAAUAGGCUGUCUAACUAACGAUGGAAAAUGAGCAAUAAAUAUUUGAUAUUAUUUUAGCGCUGAUUUUUGUUUAAAUGUCACCGAGUACAAUAGAGGCGCAUUGGCUAGCUAACUAGUGUUUCAUUUUUAAAAGGAAAACAUCAGGCUAAUAUACCUAACUAGUUGCAAGCAAAAUGGCACCCAGAGCGACCAGGUACCAGAAGUGUUUUCACCAUGGAAGGACCUGGUUGUUGCCACUGACUGGCUCUGGAGUGGACCAGCCACUGUAGACAUUGUUAACAAAACUCUUGCUACAGAACAUUACCACAAGACCAAGAGGUCUUCAACUGAAAAUGUACACCUAAUAACUGACGUAACAUAUUGUAGAAUGUUGUCCCCCUUUAACAACUUUUUUGUUUGUUCUUGCAUGAGUGUGUAGCCAGGAGGACUUUUUAAAGACUAGAGCAAGUAGGUUUAACAGGGAUGUUGUUACAGAUAUGAUCACAUUGAUUGCACUGCAUCGGUUGAUUUUAAACUGCAUGUCCAUAAACCAAUCAGUUUGCAUUACCGAUUUGCAAAUACUUUUCUUAGUGGCUAGGCUCUUCUGUAUGCUGGUCCUUUUUAAAGUAUAGAAUGGUAGUUGCAAAUGUACUCCUCGAUUUGUUGAGUGACGAAAUGAACUGAUUGUAACUGCAUUUUGUUUAAAGUAAUAAAGAAAU